GGAUACGAGUCACCCACAGUGCACUGGUCUUUCCCAAAUUAAGCUCUUGCAGUUUGCAUCAAGACCAUUUCUCAUCCACAAGCUGACUAUUUAUUGUUCUUCAAAGAGAAAAUCAAAGAAGAGAAUCAGAAGGAUAUAUCCCAGACCAACAAAAUCAUACACUGCCAUUAACCAGACCUAGAGUCUAGACAACUCAAUGCAUUUCUAUGCAGUUACAGUAUUCAUUUGGGAAGUUCUGAAGCCUUGGAUGUUAUUUUAUGUUUUCACUUUCAACUACGUGCAAAUAUGUGUAUAUAAUCUAAUACAACACCAAGUCCCCAAAAUCCUGUGAUUGAUUUACACACAUAGUCAAACUGUGAUUUUUGUUUCACGGUCUGUUGACAUUCCGGGAUGUGGCUGUGAACUUCUCUCAGGAGGAGUGGGAAUACCUGGACUUUGUUCAGAGGGCUCUGUACAUUGAUGUGAUGUUGGAGAAUUGCAGCAACCUGGUCUCUGUUGAGAACUACUGCAUAUGCGAUACUGUCCAUCAACAUAUGAGGACUGAAAAGGAGUCUUGUCAGUGUAAUGAGCUCAGGGAAAUGCUUCAUGAACCCUCCAACUGUGCACUUUAUAAUAGAAGUGACACUACAAAAACCUCUAACAACUACAGAUGCUGUAAUGAGAAGGAUGCCUCUGUUGACUCUUCAAACCCAGAUAGACACAAAAGUAUGCACACUGGAGAAGACCCUCGCCAAUCUAAAGACUGUGAGAAAUCUUUCAAUUUAUGUUCCAACAUUAGCCAAGAUCAAAGACUCUACACUGCAAGGAAAGAACACAAGCAGGAUGAAUAUGAUGACCAUUUCAGCUCUACACACAGUCUCAUGCAACAGUCUACAUUAGAGAGAAACCAUAUCAGUGUGGACACUGCAGUAAAUACUUCAGUACUGCUUCAAGUUUCAGCAUACAUAAGAGAAUUCAUACUGGUGAGAAACCCUACAAGUGCAAAGUUUGUGAAAAAUCCUUUAACAAGUGCACAAAUCUUAAAACACAUCAAAGUCUUCAUACAGGAGAGAAACCUUACAAAUGCAAAGAAUGUGAAAAGUCAUUUGUGCAGUUAUCUGCACUUAAAAGCCACCAGAGAAGGCAUACUGGAGAGAAGCCAUACAAAUGUAAGGAGUGUGACAGAUCCUUUGCCCACUGUGCAUCAUUAAGAUGGCACCACAAGAUUCAUUCUCCUGAGGCACAUUAUGAAUGCAAAGAAUGUGGUAAGUCCUUUUUUGAACUAUCAGUCUUAAAAGGCAUUGCAGAUUCCACACUGGUGAAAAGCCUUACAAAUAUGAGAUAUGUGACAAACCUUUACUACGACCACCGCUCUUAAUACACAUCAGAAAAUCCACACUGGUGAAAAGCCUUACAAAUGUGAGAUAUGUGACAAAUCCUUUACUACAACCACAACUCUUAAAACACAUCAGAAAAUUCACAUUGGAGAGAAACCUUACAAAUGUAGGGAAUGUGGCAAAUGGUUUACCAAGUGCUCACAUCUUCAAAGACAUCAGAGUGUUCAUAACCAAGAGAGACCUUACAAAUAUAAGGAAUGUGGGAAAUCUUUUACUAAGUGCUCAACUCUUCAAACACAUCAGAAAGUUCAUAAUAUAUAGAAACCUUACACAUGUAUGGAAUGUGACAAAUCCUUUACCUAGGUCUCACAUCUUAGAACACAUCAGCGAGUUCAUACUGGAGAGAGGCCUAAUAGAUAUAAGGAAUGUCUUUUACUAGGUGUUCUCACCUUAGAGAACAUCAGAUAAUACAUACUGGAGAGAAACCUUACAAAUGUUUGGAAUGUGACAAAUCCUUUACCUGGCACCCACAUCUAAGAAGACAUCAGACAGUUCAUACUGGAGAGAAACCUCACAAGUGCAAAGAUUGUGAUAAGUGCUUCCUCUGGAUUUCUAGUCUUCGAAUGCAUCAGAAUAUUCAUGAUGGAGAGAGACCUUAUAAAUGUAAGGAAUGUGGCAAAUCUUUUAUCUGGUACUCAUAUCUAAGAGCCUAUCAGAAAAUUCAUACUGCAAAGAAACCUUACAAAUGUGACAAAUCCUUUAUCCAGUAUGUACAUCUUAGGGCACAUCAGAGAGUUCAUACUGGAGAGAGACCUUACAGAUGUACGGAAUGUGACAAAUCUUUUACUAGAGCCUCAACUCUUAGAGCACAUCAGAAAAUUCAUACUGGAGAGAAACUUUAUAAAUGUAGGGAAUGUGACAAAUCUUUUACCGGAUGCUCACAUCUUAGAGUACAUCAGAGUAUUCAUACUGGAGAAAGGCCUUACAAAUGUAUGGAUUGUGACAAAUCUUUUCCUACGGGCUCAACUCAUACAGCACAUCAGAAAAUUCAUACUGGAGAGAAACCUUACAAAAGCAAAGACUGUGUUAUAUCUUUUCCCCAGCCUUCACAUAUGAGGACAAAUCAGCGAGUUCAUACUGGAGAAAGACUUACAGAUGUAAGGAAUGUGGCAAAUCCUUUAAUCAGUACUCAACUCUAAGAGACCAUCAGAAAAUUCAUACUGGAGAGAAACCUUACAAAUGCAGAGACUGACAUAUCCUUUAUAUGGAUUUCAAAUCUCGGAAGACAUCAGAAAAUUCAUACUGGAGAAAAACCUUACAAAUGUAAGGAAUGUAACAAAUCUUUUACUAGGUGCUCAUAUCUUAGAGACCACCAGAAAAUUCAUCCUGGAGAGAAACCUCACAAGUGCAAAGACUGUGACGUAUACUUUAUGUGGAUUUCAAGUCUUAGAAGACAUCAGAAAAUUCAUACUGGAGAAAAACAUACCAUUGUAAAUAAUGUAACAUACCAUUUAUCUGGUAUUCUCUGCUGACAAAUCACAACAGGAGAAGUAAUAGAAAUAUAAAGAUAACAAGCUUGUGAAAGCCUUUAAUGAAGACUUAAACCUCACAAAAUGUAUCAGAGUUCCUAUCAAAAUAAAAUUCUGUAAAUGUAA